UGAGUAACCUGCCCCAGACUCUGGAAUAACCCCGGGAAACCGGAGCUAAUACCGGAUACGAGACGAAGCUGCAUGGCUAUCGUCUGGAAAGUUUUUCGGUCUGGGAUGGACUCGCGGCCUAUCAGCUUGUUGGUGAGGUAAUGGCUCACCAAGGCGACGACGGGUAGCCGGCCUGAGAGGGCGACCGGCCACACGUGGGACUGAGACACGGCCCAGACUCCGUACGGGAGCAG
rnacentral:rRNA from 1 species